rnacentral:rRNA from 1 species
GACAGAGGGUGCAAACGUUGUUCGGAAUUACUGGGCGUAAAGCGCGUGUAGGCGGCUUUACAAGUCGGAUGUGAAAGCCCACGGCUCAACCGUGGAAGUGCAUCCGAAACUGUAUCGCUGGAGUCCCGGAGAGGAAGGUGGAAUGCUUGGUGUAGAGGUGAAAUUCGUAGAUAUCAAGCAGAACACCUGCGGCGAAGGCGGCCUUCUGGACGGUGACUGACGCUGAGACGCGAAAGCGUGGGGAGCAAACAGG